UCCAUGGAGCAUCAUCAUAAGAGGAUCUAUGUGUGUGUCAACAGAGUGGCAGGAGAGAAGCCGCCCAGGGCAAACAAGGAAGGAAGCAUCGGCCUAAUGAGUCUCCAUUGGAAAGAGAACACCACCAGCUCUUGCGAUCCGGUUCCUGUGUGGGGAAUUCUGGGAAGGAGACUCUCACUAGAUCCUUGCUUGACUUGAGAGGUAUGAGACUGGAGCAGCUGUAGCCAUCUUCAUCUAUCGAGGGAACAUGGGUUUGAGAAAACAGUCAAGUCAGGACGAGAACAAGAGAGACACUGGAUCUUGAGGACAGUGCUUGAGCCCUCGAAUCAAUCAAUGUCUAAACUAAUGGAGGGUCGAUGAAGACAUUUGGCCAGAGGACCCUGAAACACCUGAAUCCCACCUUUGGCUUGCUAGCCCCAUUUCUCAGCAGUGCCUUCACAGGAGCGGGUAGGAAUAUAUCCAUAGAACACAUGCAGAUGGAUAAGCCAGGUUCUGGUCUCCAUUCCAGGAGAAUGCCAUUUGGAUGAAUUUUGGCUACAGUGUACGGACAUAAAGAAUUUGGGUCAUUCUU